rnacentral:rRNA from 1 species
ACCGAGAUUCCCCCAGUAGCGGCGAGCGAACGGGGAGCAGCCCAGAGCCUGAAUCAGUGUGUGUGUUAGUGGAAGCGUCUGGAAAGGCGCGCGAUACAGGGUGACAGCCCCGUACACAAAAAUGCACAUGCUGUGAGCUCGAUGAGUAGGGCGGGACACGUGGUAUCCUGUCUGAAUAUGGGGGGACCAUCCUCCAAGGCUAAAUACUCCUGACUGACCGAUAGUGAACCAGUACCGUGAGGGAAAGGCGAAAAGAACCCCGGCGAGGGGAGUGAAAAAGAACCUGAAACCGUGUACGUACAAGCAGUGGGAGCACGCUUAGGCGUGUGACUGCGUACCUUUUGUAUAAUGGGUCAGCGACUUAUAUUCUGUAGCAAGGUUAACCGAAUAGGGGAGCCGAAGGGAAACCGAGUCUUAACUGGGCGUUAAGUUGCAGGGUAUAGACCCGAAACCCGGUGAUCUAGCCAUGGGCAGGUUGAAGGUUGGGUAACACUAACUGGAGGACCGAACCGACUAAUGUUGAAAAAUUAGCGGAUGACUUGUGGCUGGGGGUGAAAGGCCAAUCAAACCGGGAGAUAGCUGGUUCUCCCCGAAAGCUAUUUAGGUAGCGCCUCGUGAAUUCAUCUCCGGGGGUAGAGCACUGUUUCGGCAAGGGGGUCAUCCCGACUUACCAACCCGAUGCAAACUGCGAAUACCGGAGAAUGUUAUCACGGGAGACACACGGCGGGUGCUAACGUCCGUCGUGAAGAGGGAAACAACCCAGACCGCCAGCUAAGGUCCCAAAGUCAUGGUUAAGUGGGAAACGAUGUGGGAAGGCCCAGACAGCCAGGAUGUUGGCUUAGAAGCAGCCAUCAUUUAAAGAAAGCGUAAUAGCUCACUGGUCGAGUCGGCCUGCGCGGAAGAUGUAACGGGGCUAAACCAUGCACCGAAGCUGCGGCAGCGACGCUUAUGCGUUGUUGGGUAGGGGAGCGUUCUGUAAGCCUGCGAAGGUGUGCUGUGAGGCAUGCUGGAGGUAUCAGAAGUGCGAAUGCUGACAUAAGUAACGAUAAAGCGGGUGAAAAGCCCGCUCGCCGGAAGACCAAGGGUUCCUGUCCAACGUUAAUCGGGGCAGGGUGAGUCGACCCCUAAGGCGAGGCCGAAAGGCGUAGUCGAUGGGAAACAGGUUAAUAUUCCUGUACUUGGUGUUACUGCGAAGGGGGGACGGAGAAGGCUAUGUUGGCCGGGCGACGGUUGUCCCGGUUUAAGCGUGUAGGCUGGUUUUCCAGGCAAAUCCGGAAAAUCAAGGCUGAGGCGUGAUGACGAGGCACUACGGUGCUGAAGCAACAAAUGCCCUGCUUCCAGGAAAAGCCUCUAAGCAUCAGGUAACAUCAAAUCGUACCCCAAACCGACACAGGUGGUCAGGUAGAGAAUACCAAGGCGCUUGAGAGAACUCGGGUGAAGGAACUAGGCAAAAUGGUGCCGUAACUUCGGGAGAAGGCACGCUGAUAUGUAGGUGAGGUCCCUCGCGGAUGGAGCUGAAAUCAGUCGAAGAUACCAGCUGGCUGCAACUGUUUAUUAAAAACACAGCACUGUGCAAACACGAAAGUGGACGUAUACGGUGUGACGCCUGCCCGGUGCCGGAAGGUUAAUUGAUGGGGUCAGCGCAAGCGAAGCUCUUGAUCGAAGCCCCGGUAAACGGCGGCCGUAACUAUAACGGUCCUAAGGUAGCGAAAUUCCUUGUCGGGUAAGUUCCGACCUGCACGAAUGGCGUAAUGAUGGCCAGGCUGUCUCCACCCGAGACUCAGUGAAAUUGAACUCGCUGUGAAGAUGCAGUGUACCCGCGGCAAGACGGAAAGACCCCGUGAACCUUUACUAUAGCUUGACACUGAACAUUGAGCCUUGAUG